CCUACGGGGGGCUGCAGUGGGGAAUUUUGGACAAUGGGCGCAAGCCUGAUCCAGCCAUUCCGCGUGAGUGAAGAAGGCCUUCGGGUUGUAAAGCUCUUUCGCAAGGGAAGAAAACUUAUCCUCUAACAUAGGAUGAGGUUGACGGUACCUUGAUAAGAAGCACCGGCUAACUACGUGCCAGCAGCCGCGGUAAUACGUAGGGAGCGAGCGGUCAUCGGAAUUACGCGGGGUGUUUUGUACGUAGGAUGUUAUAUCCCCGAGCUCAACUUGGGAACUGCGUUUGAAACUACAAGACUAGAUUAGGUCAGAGGGGGGUAGAAUUCCACGUGUAGCAGUGAAAUGCGUAGAGAUGUGGAGGAAUAUCAAUGGCGAAGGCAGCCCCCUGGGAUCAUAUUGACGCUCAUGCACGAAAGCGUGGGGAGCAAACAGGAUUAGAUACCCUAGUAGUC
rnacentral:rRNA from 1 species